rnacentral:rRNA from 1 species
UACGUAGGGUGCAGGCGUUAAUCGGAAUUACUGGGCGUAAAGCGUGCGCAGGCGGUUUGUUAAGACAGGUGUGAAAUCCCCGGGCUUAACCCGGGAAUGGCGCUUGAAACUACGAUGCUGGAGUAUGGCAGAGGGAGGUGGAAUUCCACGUGUAGCGGUGAAAUGCGUAGAGAUGUGGAGGAACACCGAUGGCGAAGGCAGCCUCCUGGGCCAAUACUGACGCUCAUGCACGAAAGCGUGGGGAGCAAACAGG